rnacentral:rRNA from 1 species
CGUACACUCCUACGGGAGGCAGCAGUGGGGAAUAUUGGACAAUGGGCGCAAGCCUGAUCCAGCCAUGCCGCGUGAGUGAUGAAGGCCCUAGGGUUGUAAAGCUCUUUCACCGGUGAAGAUAAUGACGGUAACCGGAGAAGAAGCCCCGGCUAACUUCGUGCCAGCAGCCGCGGUAAUACGAAGGGGGCUAGCGUUGUUCGGAUUUACUGGGCGUAAAGCGCACGUAGGCGGACUAUUAAGUCAGGGGUGAAAUCCCGGGGCUCAACCCCGGAACUGCCUUUGAUACUGGUAGUCUUGAGUUCGAGAGAGGUGAGUGGAAUUCCGAGUGUAGAGGUGAAAUUCGUAGAUAUUCGGAGGAACACCAGUGGCGAAGGCGGCUCACUGGCUCGAUACUGACGCUGAGGUGCGAAAGCGUGGGGAGCAAACAGGAUUAGAUACCCGAGUAGUCCC